AAUCACAUGAACAGAAAGAAGAAGCUAGCUCUUUCGACAAGCUCAGGUGAGUCGGCUGCCUUCUUCUUCUUCGCCAGACGUCGGUGUUGUCACCAUCUUUGAUCAUCAUACAUCCUGGACAUUUUGUCUACACUUUGUUAAAGGUAGGGGAGGAACUAGCGAGGUUACUCAAAGAUAAUAAUAGUAAUCUAAUCAAGAGAUGGUGUUUUGAAUGUUUUAGCAAAGUUCAAUAAACAUUAUGCUAGAAACACUAUUAAGAAGGCAGUCAGAGACAGACAAAGUUUAUUUACUUUAGCAUGAUCUAGCUUCAAUAUCAAAGUGGGUGAUUACUAAAGACGUGUCAUGGAUUCUUUUGGAGGGCCUUCUCUUUGUUUUAAGGAGUGUAUAGUCUGCUUGUGCGGGGCUGUAGUCCCUAUUUUGCUGGGUCUAGUUACAUAUGUGGCCUCUUUUGUGAGGUAAUAUGUGUAUUUUUGUUUUAUUUAUAUAAUUGCUUUUUUCUUGUAAGUGAACAAAUUUAUUUGAUAUUUUUAUUUAGUAAUGUAGU